rnacentral:rRNA from 2 species
AAAUUAAAGGAUAUGGCGGUAUUUUAAUCUUUUCAGAGGAACCUGUUCUAUAAUUGAUAAUCCACGUUUGAUUAAACUUAAAUUUUUAAUUUGUAUAUCGUCGUUUAGAAAAUUUUUUAAAAAUAUAAAUUUUCGUAAAAUUAUACUAUGAUUUUAAUUCAGAUCAAGAUACAGUUUAUAUUUAAGAAGAAAUGGGUUACAUUAAAAUUAGUUGAGGAAAUUUUAUUGAAAAUAAGAAGAAAUAUGGAUUUGAUUGUAAUUUAAUUUACUUAAUUUAAAUGAUUAAAGUUCUAAAAUAUG